CCGCGCUUAGCUCAGUUGGCUAGAGCACCUGACUGUAGAUCAGGGGGUCCCCGGUUCAAGUCCGGGAGCGCGGACCA
rnacentral:tRNA from 11 species